rnacentral:rRNA from 1 species
UACGUAGGGUGCAAGCGUUGUCCGGAAUUAUUGGGCGUAAAGAGCUCGUAGGCGGUCUGUCGCGUCUGCUGUGAAAACUCGGGGCUUAACCCCGGGCCUGCAGUGGGUACGGGCAGACUAGAGUGCGGUAGGGGAGACUGGAAUUCCUGGUGUAGCGGUGAAAUGCGCAGAUAUCAGGAGGAACACCGGUGGCGAAGGCGGGUCUCUGGGCCGAUACUGACGCUGAGGAGCGAAAGCGUGGGAGCGAACAGG